rnacentral:lncRNA from 15 species
CUGCCUCUCUGCUCGAAAUGUCAGAGCUCCGCUAGUAACGUGUGCAGUGCACCCAACCGUGCAGUGCCGUGCGCACUAGGGAUGGAGAGAUUCACCGAUUUGAAGCGGUGGUCCGAGACAGACGUUUGCGAUGCGAGUGCACCGGUAGCUUCAGUGUGCAUCGGAUACAACUGCCGGCUAAAUGCACAAUGUAUCUUUCUUUGCGUGUCUGCAUCGGUAAAACCCAUGGUUACAUCGAUUAUUACAUAGUUUAUCUCCUCUGCACCCGUGUUUUCAAGGCGCCUUGAACGCACCAUCACUAUCUUUUUGCGCGGCGCCACAGACGCAGUUAGUUAGUAAACAAGUAACAAAUGGAGGGAAGACUGAGAGAUUCUCAAUGUAUAUAUAUUAUUCUGGGUCGCUUUUUGGCAUCAAAACAACGUUUUUGAUAACGUUUGAUAGCAAAUGUUUAAUAACUAACGUUAAUUACAAACGCGGUGACGUUUGCUAGCAAUAUGGUUUUGCAUUAAUGAAUUAAUUUAGUUAACUUAUAGUUUGAGGUAUGUUGUUUGCAAUUGUUUGCUGCAGAGCACAGUAAUUUAAGUGAGUAAAUAAACAUAUUCCUUUUACAUCAACUCCCUAUUGUGCUCAUACGUUAUAUGAAACUUCCCCAGGAGCACUGUUAAAGUAUUUAAGAGGAGGCACUGACUCAGCCCAGGGGCAAUCCACCUCCUCAGGAGCAGCCAAGGUUAAUGAAUCAGGUCCAUCUCUAUCCUCUGCUCCAUCCACUGUGCCCACUGUCCCUUCUGUGUCUUCUGCAACCUCAGCUGUACCUGGUCCUUCAUCUUUGGUCAUUGAGAUUGAUGUGUUUUCUUCAGCAUCCAGUUUGGAGCAGGGAUCAGCAGCUCCGCCAGUUGACCCAGCUGAGUGUCCCUCUUUCCUGUCAGACUCAGAAAGGACUGAACAGGUAUUAAGAGGGCCAAUGCCUAUAAAGGACACAUUCACAUUCCCAAAAUGACACAAUGGCCGAAGCUUCCACCAUCAUUACACAUACAGACACCAAAUGGGGAAAAAGUAAAGCGGAGCUGGCUCACAUAUUCACAAAGUAAAAAGGCGGUCGAUUGCUUUUGCUGCAAAUUUUUUUUUUAAUUUUACAUAUUAAUAUGAAAGUGAUGUAAGUUGUAUUCAAAACUUAAAGCUCCUCCCGAACCUAGAGUGAGGCUUACUUACCCAGGAGUGGGUUACAUAUGGUAUUUGCUUAUAGAAGCUACUGUCUACUGAACUACCAUAUAAUUAAGUGUCAAAUCUGAAUAAGACUGAACAAUAUUUUACAUCAGAAAUUGCCAUGCAUUGCUACUCACUCACUUAUAACUCUGGCUCUGUAGAGGAAAAAGUAGUAGAAUGCUUUUUAUUGAAUUCUUUUAUAUGACCCUGAGUCUGCAUUUGCUCAAAUUAAGAAUAAACACUCUUUAGCUUAUCCUCCCUUCUAUUGUCUUGCUGCCAAUCAAGGUAAUAUAGUCGAUGUUGUAAAAGUUCACACUUCACAAGAGCUAUCUCAAAGCUCAGGUCACACAGAUUCACGUUCAUUUUCUCCAUUUUAUUUUCCUUAAAAGCCUUAUUCAACAGUGUCUGUACCUGCUAAUCUUCAUCUAAUUUGAUGAGCAACUUUAUGAAUGGCUUUACAACCUUGCUCAAAGGCUGCAGAUUUCCUACAAUGUAUUCAGUACUGUGUUCAGUAAUUCUGUAAGGAGUACGGUCUAGACCUACUCUUUUUGAAAAGUGUCUUGACAUAUCUUCUGUUAUGAAUUGGUGGUAUACAAAUAAAAUGUAAUUGAAUUGAACUGAAUGGAAUUCUGUCAAGUUAAAACAAAUGUCACCGGAUCCUUGAGUUUGACUUGGGUGGAGGAACUUGGCUACUGUUGGCUCAUGGGCUUCCUCUUUGUUAAUGAUUUCUUGUGAUCAUCGUUCACUUGCAGAUAUUUCCUAAGACUGUUUGGAUGCUUCAAAUCAUGUGUCAUUUCAAAUUUGUUGCCACUGUGGCUGACGUCCUGACUGGUUUGGCUGACGUAUUUCAUACAGAUAUGGCUGGGCCUCACUGAUUACUGUAUAAAAAGCACAACUUUCUUACUUCAUUCACAGAUUUUGGUGAAACCGGACGAUGUUUUACAAAGAAAAUAUGUUCUGGUUUUCCCACUGACGUCCUCCAGCUGCUCUGCUUCAACUCUGGGAUGGACGGAUAGAUUCAACUACUUGCUAAAGUAGUUAUCCGCUAAUUAGCUGCCACUAACUGUAUCUGCGGCUAGCAGACAACAGAAUGGUGCUCAGCAGCCGGACCGGGAUUGACCAACGGAAUAAUUUUACAGUACCAUAAUAAUUAACAGAGUUUCCUGAUGGAAAGAUUGCUUAGUAUCGAACUGCUAACUGUUCAUCAGCUAACCUAACUGACUAACUGACCUGGAUGACAGGAGAAGAAACCACCGUAGUGCGGUAUUCCCUGUGGUCUGUCCGGCUGUGUUCACUGGGUACAAACUGAUGCUACAGUGUUAGCUUCACAGCAGUGGGAGUGUAAAACACACUCGUUGCUUUUUGCUAUAUAGCUGCAUGUUUUUACAUGUUUUUUUAUUUUGAAAACCACUGGACUACUUCUGGUGAGUGGAAAAAAAAAGGAGUGAAAUUAAGUUGAAGGAAUGACAUUUAUGUAGGGGAAAUAAACAAGCAAGAGUUUGCUGAUGCCACAUGCUGUGGAUCCUUUUUUAUAAGUUGCUUACCCUAUCUUUGUUAAUGAAGAAUUGAAUGGGGGCCUACCAGAAAUGUUUGAGAACGACUGACAUAGACCCUUUGUAUGAACUUACUUUAGCAAUACCUUGAGCUGUGCUGGAAUUGCCAUUUACCAUGCCGGCGGUGUCGUAAAACGCAGUGCUUGAGCGCCGUUAACUCUCACAAAUGCACCGUUAACUUGCGAGAGUUAACAACGCUCACAUUCACAUUUAGUUCACGUUCACACUAAUUACAGUACAUGCCUAUCUACUAUAUCUGCACUUUACAUCAGUACCACAUUUGGUUCAGAAAAAAAACAUGUGGAAAGAGGGGAAGAAUACAGGGAAAGGACAGAGAGAAACUGUGACACAGAA